AUUGAACGCUGGCGGCAUGCUUUACACAUGCAAGUCGAACGGCAGCGGGGUAGUGCUUGCACUACUGUCCGGCGAGUGGCGAACGGGUGAGUAAUAUAUCGGAACGUACCGAGUAAUGGGGGAUAACCAAUCGAAAGAUUGGCUAAUACCGCAUACGUCCUACGGGAGAAAGCGGGGGAUCGCAAGACCUCGCGUUAUUCGAGCGGCCGAUAACUGAUUAGCUAGUUGGUGGGGUAAAGGCCUACCAAGGCGACGAUCAGUAGCGGGUCUGAGAGGACGAUCCGCCACACUGGGACUGAGACACGGCCCAGACUCCUACGGGAGGCAGCAGUGGGGAAUUUUGGACAAUGGGGGCAACCCUGAUCCAGCCAUGCCGCGUGUAUGAAGAAGGCCUUCGGGUUGUAAAGUACUUUUGUUAGGGAAGAAAAGGGAAGUGCUAAUACCACUUUUUGCUGACGGUACCUAAAGAAUAAGCACCGGCUAACUACGUGCCAGCAGCCGCGGUAAUACGUAGGGUGCGAGCGUUAAUCGGAAUUACUGGGCGUAAAGCGAGCGCAGACGGUUAUUUAAGCAGGAUGUGAAAUCCCCGGGCUUUGCCUGUGAACUGCGUUCUGAACUGGAUAGCUAUAGUGUGGCAGAGGGGGGGUAUAAUUCCACGUGUAGUAGUGAAAUGGUGUAGAGAUGUGGAUGAAUUCCGUUGGCGUAUGGUGUGCUUGUGUUAUUAUGCUGAUGUGCUGGCUUGUAUGUGUGGGUUGAGUGAGGAGUGUAUGGCCUGGUGUUUAGGUGGAUGUCUAUUGUGUUGUUGUCUUGCUGAUCCUUUGUGUGCGCUGGUGAAAAUAUAAAGCUAUUUAUGUGCUUGUGAUGUGGUGUUGUUAUCCUGUGCAUGUGACUUGCUG
rnacentral:rRNA from 1 species